UACAGAGGUCUCAAGCGUUGUUCGGAUUCAUUGGGCGUAAAGGGUGCGUAGGCGGCGCGGUAAGUCGGGUGUGAAAUUUCGAGGCUUAACUCCGAAACUGCAUUCGAUACUGGCGUGCUUGAGGACUGGAGAGGAGACUGGAAUUCAUGGUGUAGCAGUGAAAUGCGUAGAGAUCAUGGAGGAAGACCAGUGGCGAAGGCGGGUCUCUGGACAGUUCCUGACACUGAGACACGAAGGCCAGGGGAGCGAAACGGG
rnacentral:rRNA from 1 species